rnacentral:rRNA from 1 species
GCCUGACGCAGCGACGCCGCGUGAGGGACGACGGCCUUCGGGUUGUAAACCUCUUUUAGUAGGGAAGAAGCGAAAGUGACGGUACCUGCAGAAAAAGCACCGGCUAACUACGUGCCAGCAGCCGCGGUAAUACGUAGGGUGCAAGCGUUGUCCGGAAUUAUUGGGCGUAAAGAGCUCGUAGGCGGUUUGUCGCGUCUGCUGUGAAAACCCGAGGCUCAACCUCGGGCCUGCAGUGGGUACGGGCAGACUAGAGUGCGGUAGGGGAGAUUGGAAUUCCCGGUGUAGCGGUGGAAUGCGCAGAUAUCAGGAGGAACACCGAUGGCGAAGGCAGAUCUCUGGGCCGUAACUGACGCUGAGGAGCGAAAGCAUGGGGAGCGAACAGGAUUAGAUACCCUGGUAGUCCAUGCCGUAAACGUUGGGAACUAGAUGUGGGGACCAUUCCACGGUCUCCGUGUCGCAGCUAACGCAUUAAGUUCCCCGCCUGGGGAGUACGGCCGCAAGGCUAAAACUCAAAGGAAUUGACGGGGGCCCGCACAAGCGGCGGAGCAUGCGGAUUA